rnacentral:rRNA from 1 species
UACGUAGGGGGCAAGCGUUGUCCGGAUUUAUUGGGCGUAAAGAGCGUGUAGGCGGCCAUACAGGUCAGCUGUGAAAACUCGAGGCUCAACCUCGAGACGUCGGUUGAAACCGUAUGGCUAGAGUCCGGAAGAGGAGAGUGGAAUUCCCGGUGUGGCGGUGAAAUGCGCAGAUAUCGGGAAGAACACCCGUGGCGAAGGCGGCUCUCUGGGACGGUACUGACGCUGAGACGCGAAAGCGUGGGGAGCGAACCGG